rfam:Triticum urartu cultivar G1812 contig538963, whole genome shotgun sequence.
AUCAUACUCCCUCCGUUCGGAAUUACUUGUCGCAGAAAUGAUGUAUCUGGAUGUAUUUUAGUUCCAGAUACAUCCAUUUCCGAGACAAGUAAUUCCGAACGGAGGGAGUAGAUA